UAUGCUUGGUCCCCGAGCGAACCCAAACCCUAUCUCCCCCAUGAUUCCUAUCUCCACUGCGCCCUGGAUCCCCAACACCACCACAUCCCCUCUCUGUGCCCCUUCACCGUCGCCGCCCCUGCCAGGGAUGGAGCUGGACGGGACGGCCGCGAUGGCAGGCCACUGCAUGUUCCUCCAACAUUCCUUCUUCCUCCAUUUUUCCCUCGCGAUCCAGGCCGUGCGCAUCUCUCUUCUUCUUGAUCUAUUCUUCUGCUAAACACCAUCAUACCACUCACAAAUUUGUCGACGGGGAUGUUCCAGUAGUGGGUUGGACUUGUUCUCUAAAUCCAGGUGCCGCCUCCCUUCCUCUGCAGAUAGUUUCAAAUGCAACCUCCACCUCUUCAAUUCCUCAACAGCGGAUCGAGCGGUGGACGGCAGAGGUGCCGCACCUCGCCAGAUCCGGCAACCCAAGUUGACGUUGGCAAGUAAAGGAGGGGGCCUAAGGACGAAUGGACCUUAGGACGAGCAGGGCCGCCUCAUCUUGCCGUCUUCUUCAACUCCCGCGGCCGGCCGGCCUCGUGCCAGUUUCGUGUGGGCGCAUGCCUUCUUAUAGCGAACAACCAUAUGGCGGAACGAGUACAGAAAAGUGCAUAGCCCCUCCAAGGAAUACGACAAUAGUGCGUUUGAUUGCCGGAUUGAUGCUCCUGUUUGAAGAUUGCUUUAUGAGUACGACAAUAGUACAGAAUAGUGUAUUGACAAAAAAUAUCUGGAAAUCUUAUACAGUAAGUUUCCUUUGGUCUGCAAUUAGUAGUAUGAAGAUUGCUUGCUUUGUUUGAUUGCCUGAUUGAUGCUCCUGUUUGUCAUUUUUGGUUUUAUUUUUAGAACCAUUUGUAUCACUUAAUUAUUCUUUGUUUCCUACCUCGUUGUACUCAUAAAGCUUGCUGCUAUCGUACUUAGGAUUGUCAUGAACCUUAUGCAGUAGUGAUUGUCUAAUGUCCUUGUAGGUGAGAAGAUAGAUAGUGAAGUUAGAGGAUGAGAACUCCAGAUCUUAUACCGUUUUGACUAAACAGGAGAGCAGUAAGUACACAUAUUAACUGGUGCAUAAAUUCUAGAUAAAUUCGUUCGUACGCGUAAGAAAAAAAUCUUUUCUGAACAUUAGUUCUUUUUCUCCUUUAUUCAUUAGAUGGAGAAAUGAUACUACCUGAUAUUUUUGUUUCUAUGUAACCAAUGUUACUUUUCAAAAUAUUAGACUGUUUGAAACUUGGUCUCUUCUUUCACGAGGAAAUGCAUUCAUCAGAUGGGAUCAAACUUUUCUUAUCAAAAUUAAUCAUCAUGUCCUGAUGCUCAUUUUGUUGAUUGUUGUAGAUGGAAGUUACAUAGUAAUAUGCUCAUUUACACUGUACUGAUUAAAAGAUGUAGAAAUAACUUGUGUUUUAUCAAACAUACUUCAAUAUUAACAUGGGCAUAUUUCGCUAACUUGUGUUUUAUAGAAAUAACUAGCUUAGUAUAUCGCGUGGGCAUAUUUCCGUAUUUGAUCUUGCUCAAUUGUAUGAUUUCAGAAAUGUUAAUGUUCACGCUGCACAUAGUAUUGACUCUACAAGACUUUUAAAAUUAUGCCUAGAAGAUCUGUUGUUUUCUUGCAAACAUAUUUAAUCUUUUUGCCACGAGGAGAUGUGGUGCUGCCAAUGCUGUCAGUCACCAAGUUCAGGGUGACGGAGUUGGUGCGAAGAGACCUGCGGUAGAAGCACGACCGUGCAAACCAGAUCCGCACGGAGAUUUCCGAGACAUACACGCAGACACUUCUCAAGUUUCGGCAGGCAAGAGUGCGAAAAACAAUCUACCAGCACAUGUUCCUGAGAAAGUUCUUGCUGGAGUACCUGCUCGAUUGUUCGGAGAUAUUGUCAGAGCACUAGGCCCUUGAGGUCCCUAUGGAGCAACGUCAAGGACCUGAUGGAGUCGGACAAGAACUUGAGGGUCAACUUUGUUGUGGGGAGUUCGUUUUUAGCUAUGCUACAGCGUGCUAUAAUUCACUUGGAUAAAUGUGCAUUCAUAAUAUGUAACUGAAUUUGGAUAAAGAUACCCUGUAACUAAUUCUUUCCCAUGGUUUAGACAAAGAUAUCCUGACGGGUGGAAA